UAAAAGAACAGGAAGUCAAACUGGAGACAAUAAUAACCACCAGCUUGUCCUGUGGUCUGAGGUUCAAGGAUGAUGUGUGUGAGAGAGCUGAAAGCUCAGCUGGGCUCCCGCCCUUGGCCCACACACCUGCUGUGAAUCCACCUGAUUACCGGGACUCCUGGGCUGCUAUUUAAGCUGAGGGCUCAGAAGGCGUCUUUGCUGGAUCGUUGAGUUAUUCUCGUUCCUGGACUCGUCCUUAUCCCUGAUCUGCUUCCCUGGCAGCGUGGAGUGGAGUGGAGUGAGAGUGAGAGUGCUGAAGACAAGUACCAAAGAAGCGAAUGAGCAGAGCGUGUUUGGACUUUCUUCCCUUUUCCCCAGGACCACUGAAUAUCCCUGCCCUGUACACUGUAUAUACUUUCACGUGGUGUGUUUGUAAAUAAACUUGUGAUUGCAAUUCUAGUUCAGCUGGUCUACGCCUGAGUCCGUUUCCGCCUGCGUGACAGUUCCUGGGUCGUUGAUCCAGUGUUUUCAGUUUGUUUUUGUUCUCUGAGUAUUUUCCACAUGUUCACAUUUGCUGUUUUAUUAUGUUAUCCAUCUGUCUGUGUGCAUUAUGUUCUGUUCCACUUCCUACGUAUCAUUAGAUUAAGUUCAGCUGUGUACUCACAGGUCUCUAGUCAUCAUCAUUAGCCAGUGUAUUUACAGUUUUUCUCGAUUGCUUAAACACUAUAACCAAUCUUGUGAACCCAAAUUUCAAAACCAUAAUGCC